GCUACCGCAGGCUGGACUCGGCUGCGUGCGUCAGUGACAGUGAAGCGGUGCCGUCAAGGGACUACCACGGCCUUGCGAACGACGCUCUUGAACUGCCCUGCUAUGCCAUGGUGCGCGUUUUCUUCGAGAAGGCUUGCUGUGUUCUGGUCGCUGGACGAAAAAUGCGUGGUUUGACGACAGCGCAAGAUGCCGCACUGCAAGUGCUAUGAUGUGGCAAUGGCCCGGUUACUCGAGCGAGCGUGUCGUUGUGAAUAACGAAGCCGCUGACGGGCGAGCCGUGUUUGCGGCACAUUCAGGAACACGAGUGGAGCGAAGCUGUUUAGCAAAUUGUUCCCGGUGAGUCGAAGAAUGAAUGGAUGCGUAACUUUAUUGUAAGUCCUGAGGUGCACAACCCAACGCGCUGCGGACAUCUACCACGUUGGGAGAGUGAGGCCAAGCCCGACUGCCUCAUCGUGCGGCCUCUGGACAGCCACAGUUGAUAUCUAAUAUCGGGUACCUUUAUAGCGGAGAGACACUUGCCUUCAUUGGAUUGGUCGGUGCUCCGUAACGAAGGGUAACGCCAGAGCAUGUGGUCUAGGCUAGUGAACUCGUGUCAGUGUCUGCAGGAGCUAUUGGGAUGAAUGUCGGGAUAAAUGUUUAUUCAAUAAAACAGGGCUUGGGUGUGAACCUUUC